rnacentral:lncRNA from 1 species
UCAUUCUGGUUAAGACUUGUCCCGCAAGACCCAAGUUUGGUACUCAUUUUGCUAAACAACUUAAUAAUAAAGCAUAGGGAAUAUCUACCCCGUAGAUAAUUAGUCAACCCCCCCCCCCGAGGCCAGUGCUCUGGUGGCCGCGAGGGGAACUCUGCGAUUGUCCUACCGGAAGUUUGGACAAUCCGGUCGUGUCAUGAGAAUGAGAUACACGGCUACUAUCGGGUUCGUCGACACAUCGGGCGGUCUUGCUGGAUUUGUCUUCACCUCCUCGAGGUGUCUUGUGCAUCGGGAUUCCGAGGAUAUUUUUGGCUAUCUCAAGGUUGAGGUUUUCCAGUAAGGAAUCCGAGGAGAUCACGGGUUUUAUAUGACCAAGGCUUCCUAUGUAGCUUGUGGUAAUUUGUGAUGGAUUAGUUGGAGCACUCCCUGCUCGGUUAAGAUCUUUCAAAAAGUCGUGCCAGCAGUUAUGUGGCAAC